UAAUCUAAAUUUAAACUGAAAAUAAAUUAAAAAAAAAAAGAAAUAACUCUAACUUGGCAGUCUUUGCUUUAUAAAUCAUUUGCCCAAGUGGCCGGAUUUGCAGUCUGCUUGUCUUUGUUUAAAUUGUUCAAAGUGUAAUCUGGGGCUAGGGUCUAAGAGAUGAGAUUAAAGGAUGACCAUGAAUGUGGAUAUUGUUAGUAAAAUCUUCUGUUUCAGCCAGGCUCUUCUUCAGGCACUAGCCACAGUUGGCUACACAAUUUUUUUUUAGUUCAGAAUUUUUCUUUUAUUAAUCUGUCAGUGUGCAGAUUGGUUUCUUACUGGGAAGGCAUAUUAUUCCUGGAACAGUGGUAGUCAGAGACACUGGAGCAGAAUGAACAGGUUCAAACAAAGUCUAGGAAGGGCAAAAUGAAGUGUCAACCUCGCUGGAAGGAGAAAUCUCUAAGGACUGAUCCCCUGUCACUCAGGUGAGCUGCAGAAAGCCAGGACUAGCUCAAGGAAGUGUGAAAUGGUCAGAAAACUUGAAAAAAAAAAAAAACCAGUGGGCCAGAGGUAGACAUUCAGGGAAUAACUGAACUCCCACUGUGAGUAAGGUUCUAGGGAAAGGAUGUUCCCCAGGCAGACUAGUUCUCAGGGAAGACUAGAAGGCAGUCCUUGAUGGAAUAAAGUCUCAAGUAAACGUGAAGUCUCUGUGGUGUUAAGUCCUGGAGGAAGCACAGAGCAGUGAGGGGAACAGAGAAAGGAGCAGGUGAAGCAGCUGCUGCAGCCCAAGGCUGCCUGGUGUGAACUGUGGCUCCUGUGGGGCCUGCUUCUCCUCAGGGAUGCUCAUUGUGAGGGUGGGGGAUGGCUGGUGCAAUUGCUGUGUUUGUAAACAAUGGCAUCCUGAGUCUAGAAGGAAUUUUGGUUGUCUUCUAGUCUGUUAUCCAUUUUUCUCCAUGCCAGAAACAUGUCUACAGCAUCCCCAGCUGGCCAUUGGUGCAGUCAUUUCCAAGUACAGUAAAUAAAGACCAACUAGUCUGUUUCCUUCUCAUGGUUCCAUGUAUGUGGAUCCAACCAACCGCAGAUCAAAACGUAUUUCUCUGUUUAUUAGUUCCUAAUCAAUAGAAUCUACCAAGUACUUACAUGGCAUUUACACUCUUUUAAGUAUUACAGCCAAUGCAUGGACUAUUUGAUAUUUAAGAUACAUGGGAAGAUAUGUGUAGGUUCCAUGAAAAUACUCUGCCAUUUUCUUCAUUGAUACUGCAUUAAGAAAUUAAAAGCAAAUUCUUCGUCUUGGAGCUGGUUAGAGGAAGAGUGAGGCCAAAUUGAAUGUUUCACUUCUUAGUGUGUCUUCCUUCUGUAUGUCAUUUGUGGUCUGCAGCAUGGUGUGUGUUUGUGCAAUGUCUGACUGUUCCUGUUAUUUGUAACAAAGACUUUGCCCUGUAUUUACAGUGUAGCACAGGAAGCAUGGUGUGGGAAAGGAUUGAAGAAUGAUUUUUUUUCUAAAAUAAGAAGCUUUAACAGGUUUUACAAGGGAAAGCUGACCCCAAGUAGUGCUCACAACCUCACCCUGUAUCCACAUGUUGCUUCCAACAUUCAUAGGAUAUUUGUUUGUAUUUAUCAUUUAGUUAUUUAGUUCUUUUUGUUGUUUUUUAAAGAUUACUUUCAAGUUUCUGGCUUCUUUCAGCAAAUAAUUACCCCAACACACCCCCCACCCCCCACUCACACACACACACACACACACACACACACACACACACACAAGCAUGCAUACACACACUUCUGGGUCAGAGUCAUGGAAGAGUACUUAGAUAAGAUUAAAGCUAUGCACUUAGUUUAGGUUGUAAAAGCUGUUUACAAGACAAGUCCAAAGGUAUAAGAGUAAGGUUGGUUACAUUGUUUUCUUAAGGUCAGGUUAAAGUUAACCAGGCUGACCACACAGUAUUGAGUACAUAGUUCUAAAUGAUCUCAAAGCAUAUUAUUAACUUGAUUUCAAGGUCUGACAAAGGUCCUGUUUCUGAAAGCAAGAAGCAUUUCCAGAAAAAAAAAAAAAACUACUUAGGUCCCUAUAAGGGAUUUGGCCAGCAUGUCUUGAUACCUGUGGGAGUGGCUGGAUCUGACUCCCUGGGGAUCUUAACUGUCAGCUGUGUGUUCCUGAGGCACAGAUUGGAAAAUUGGGGACAAAAAGCAUUGGGGUAUUAAAUCUAAGUAGACAGAACUGAAUCCUAAUUAAUGCCUGAGGGACAGAGAACACACAGGAGUCUACCAGCCUUCAAACUACCCUUCAGGAACACCAAGGCAUUUGAAGCGGAGAUCUUCCACUUUCCCACCAGCAAAACACAUUAGAGACUGAGCCGUCUCCUCCUCCCUCAACCCUUCCAAAGCCAAAGGUCAGAAGUCACGAAGUCCAUCUGCUGCCCCCGAUGACGUCACAUAGCAACUACAUGGCGUAGGGGAAAGUUUCAACCACAUUAGGAAACAAAGCUGGGACUUUCUACUAAUACUCCGGUCUUACUAGAAUUAAAAAUCAGUAUCUUCAUAAAAA